AAAUCUUAAAUUUUACAUUAAUACAUAGUAUAACACCACAAAGCUCCCAAAACGUUAUGGAGUACCAUUUCAACUAAACAAACACAAGAAUAAAAAAGCAACGCCUAAAAGCCAUUCAAAAUUCGAAGUUUUGUGAAUAUAUUAAGUAAAUAAUAAAUUCGAUCCAACAAAAAAUUCACUUCUCAUUUUCGCCAUGUUUGCGAAGAAGUUUUUUCAAAAAGCUACACAAUAUCAUCAUAAUCAGCCAAAUGGCAGUGGUUUGACAGCAAAUGACCUGAAUAUUCGUGCUACUGUACAUUAUGGUAUCCCCUCAACAGCAUCAAUUCUUGCAGUAGACCCCGUCCAGCGACUAUUGGCCAUUGGAACAUUGGAUGGUAGGAUAAAAGUGAUUGGUGGGGACAAUAUUGAAGGUCUCUUCAUUUCUCCAAAGCAGUUGCCUUACAAAUAUUUAGAGUUCCUUCAAAACCAAGGUUUUCUUGUCAGCAUCACAAAUGAAAAUGAUAUUCAGGUUUGGAAUCUCAAAAGCAGAUCUGUAGCUUGUGAUUUGCAAUGGGAUUCAAAUAUAACUGCUUUUUCAGUUAUCAAUGGAUCUUCCUUCAUGUAUGUUGGAGAUGAAUAUGGAACAAUCUCAGUUUUGAAGUUCUGUGAUGAGAGCAACAAGCUACUGCAACUGCCAUAUCAGAUCUUAUGGAGUUCUCUUUCUGAAGCAGCUGAUUUUCCGUAUUCAGAUCAUCAACCAGUUGUUGGAAUUCUCCCCCAACCUUUUACUUUCGGAAAUAGAUUAUUGAUUGCAUAUGAGAGUGGUUUAAUUAUACUUUGGGAUGUCGUCGAAGCCCAUGUUAUCAUUGUCAAAGGUGAUAAAGAUCUCCAUUUGAAGGAUGGUGCAGUAAAUUUUAAAAAGAACGCAGAUUCCAGCUCUCCCGAUGAUCUAUUGCAGCACCAAUUAGAGGAGAAAGAGAUAGCCACACUUUGCUGGGCAUCCACUGAUGGGUCCAUUCUUGCCGCUGGGUACAUAGAUGGAGAUAUUCUGCUUUGGAAAAUAUCAAAAUCGACCGCAAGAAAAGGUCAAGAAGCCGGACCAUUUGAUAAUGUUGUUAAGCUACAAUUGUCUUCUGCUGAAAAGAGGCUUCCUGUCAUUGUCUUACACUGGUGGGCAAAUAGUAAAUCCCGGAAUAAUAGCGAUGGCCAUCUCCUCAUUUAUGGCGGUGAUGAAAUAGGAUCAGAUGAAGUCAUUACGAUUCUUACUCUUGAGUGGUCAUCUGGAAUGGAGACUUUGAAAUGUGUUGGUCGUGUUGACCUCACUCUUAGUGGCUCAUUUGCAGAUACAAUCUUAUUACCAACUACUGGGGCAACAUCAACUGAUGAAAAAGCUGCUUUAUUUGUGUUGAUGAGUCCUGGGCAACUAAACCUUUUUGAUUGUUCUACCUUGUCUGACUUGGUAUCCAAAGAGGAGAAGAAAGUAUCUCUAUCAGCUAAGGAUUUUCCUGUAGAAUUGCCAACUGUUGAUCCUUCCAUGACAGUGACAAAGCUUACCCAGUUGCAUUCAGAUGGAAACACAGGGGAGCUUCUGCAAGAGACACCUUUCUUCAAGAAGCUUUCCACAGCAACAUCAUCUGAGCCUAACAGAUGGCCCUUGACUGGAGGGGUGUAUAAUCAUAUUUCUCGAGCUGAGACCAACAGGAUUCAGAGUGUUUUUAUAGCUGGUUAUCAGGAUGGAUCUGUAAGGAUGUGGGAUGCCACUCAUCCGGUUUUCCGUCUCCUUUGUGUCUUGGAUAGAGAGGUUAAAGGUGUAAAUACAGUUAUAUCAAUUGCUUCAGUUUCAAAAAUAGAUUUCUGCUCCCAGACAUUAAGAUUGGCAGUUGGGGAUGCAUGUGGUCUGGUGCGUCUUUAUGAUUUCAAACGUAGCGAUACGGAAAACUUCCAUUUUGUUACUGAUACUAAAAAUGAAGUUCAUAAGUUGGCACAAGGUCAAGGACCUUCUUGCAGAGCUGUUCUAAAGCUUCUCGAUGUUCGAGUCCGAGCAAUUGAGUUUGUAAAUCAUGGAGCCAAACUUGCAGUUGGAUAUGAAAAUGCUAAGGUUGCGGUGUUUGAUAUGACAUCAUUAUCAGUAUUAUUCUUGUCAGACUCCGUAUCUGUUGGUAACUCUCCUCUGGUGGCGCUGAUUGCAAAGAGAUUUGUGCAUAGUGACGGUCAUAGCAAAAGCCCAAAACAAUCAGAGCUUCCAGAAAACCAUAUGGAGGAACUCAUGUUUAUUUUAACUGAGGAUGCAAAGAUCUAUGUAAUUGAUAGUGGUAAUGGUAAAACGUAUGGUUCAGGGCCCCUGCAUUUAAAGAAAGUGUCAACUGCGAUUUCUAUGUAUGUCAUAGAAAACAACAUCCCAUUUUCUGGUAUAAUAAGUAAGCAGCCAGAAUUCAGCAAGGAUGAUGCAGCUAGUAAUGAGCCUUCACAGGAAAUGACCGCUGGUGAUCAAGGUGAUAGGGUUCCUUUUCUAGAAAAUGACCCAUCCAGGAAACACUUUGAGGAGUCCUUUAUUCUACUUUGCUGUAAAGAUGCAAUACGCACUUAUGCUACAAAAUCUGUAGUUCAUGGGGAUAAUAAAUCUGUUUGCAAAGUGAAGCUCGACAAACCUUCUUGUUGGACAACUACUUUUAUGAAAGAGGGGAAAGUUUGUGGAUUACUAUUACUCUUUCAGAAUGGAGAUAUCGAGAUUAGAUCUUUGCCUGAUCUAGGGUUAGUGGAGCGGACCUCUUUAAUGUCAGCUUUAAGGUGGAAUUUCAAGCCAAAUAUGGACAGGGCGAUGAGUUCCAUGGAGAAUGGCCAUAUUACUCUGGCUAAUGGUUCUGAACUGGCUUUCGUGUCCUUGUUAGCUAGUGAAAAUGAUCUCAGAAUUCCAGAAUCUUUGCCGUCUCUUCAUGAUGAAGUGCUCGCAGCUGCAGCAGAUGCUGCCAUGAAAUUCUCCACUCAAAAGAAGAAACAGAUGUUGCUGCAGGGUGGUGGCCCAAAUAUUAUAGGUACUCUCGUUAAAGGAUUUAAAGGGGGAAAACCGAAUCAGAAUAUGGAUCUCAGUCAGAUGUCUAAGUCAAACUUUAGUCAUCUGGAAGGUGUUUUUAUGAAGAACCCACUGCACCCAGAACCGUCCCCUACUAUCACUAAGGAAGUUCAAGAAGAAGUGGAGCUCGAUAUAGAUGAUAUUGAAAUUGAUGAGCCUGUUCCUGUGGCUUCUACUUCAUCUCAUAACACACAAAAUAGUAAAAGAGUAACUGAAAGAGAAAAGUUGCUUGAUUCUGAGGGUGACGAUGCCAAGCCCAGACCUAGGACACGUGAAGAAAUCAUAGCAAAAUAUAGAAAAGCUGGGGAUGCAUCAUCAGCAGCUGGACAAGCAAGAGACAAGCUUCUAGAACGCCAAGAAAAACUUGAGUUUGACAGCCAUGACCGAAGAAAUUGCAUUUGACGGUUUUUCAAAGACGAUUCAGUCGGCUAGUGUCCGGAUUGGGGAAAAAAUGGAUAAAAUGAACUGGCAAUUGGACAGAUUAUUAGAGAGGUUUGGAAUCAGCCUGGAAGAUAAGGGAACCGAUUAUCAUGUUUUUAAAGAAGAUCAAGAAAGUACAGCAGGACCAAAAGUUUAAAAAAUAUUGGAUAUUGAGUCAAAUGAGGUUGAAGAAGCUUCAGUAACUCAAUCAGGUGAUGCUGAAGAAUCCGAUCCUGUAGAAGGAGUAAUUCAAUCAAGUGAUGCCGAAGAAUCUAACAAUGUAGAAGGAGAUUUUAACCGAAGCUCGGAGUUGGCUGAAGCGCAUUCUUGCUUGAUGGGUAGGGCUACCAGUUCUUAUACUACAUUCAAGUUGAUGACUAUGGAGAUAAAGGAAACUAAUGACUUCCCCAUGAGCAGGCUAUCAGAUGGGCGCAAGGUGUUUGAUAAAAUGUCAAACAAGAGGCUCCAUAACAAUUCAUGUGAGAAUUAACCAAAGAACUGAAGAACUACGGAGUGGGGCUGAAGACUUUGCAUCAUUGGCAAAUGAGCUUGUCAAGGUAAUGGAAAAUCGCAAUCGAAAAUGGUGGCAGAUAUGAAGAUAGGCCUUGAAUUCUUACUUGUUAUUAAUCAUCCUUCACUGAGCAACAGAAAAUUCGUCAUUUUUACACCUAAGCAAGUGUCAGGGUUUGACAUGUAAACUGUACAGAUCGCUCUGGCUAUUGAAAACUUUGGGUUAAAGCAACUGAUGAGAGUGUAGCUAAGGUUAUUUUGUGAAAGCUUAGGUGGUUUGUUGUUCAUGAAGGAAUAAUCCACCAUUUUUUUCUUCAUUUCCAGUCUGUUUUGUUUCUCUGCAAAGGAAGAUUACGUAACAGAUGGCAUAUUUAUUGUUUGUGAUGUGAGUAUGGCCUUUCAAAACAGAUAUAGAAAAUAGAAUGACGAAUUAUAACGUGCAACA